AAAGCGUAGUCGAUGGGAAACGGGUUAAUAUUCCCGUACUUGGAUAAACUGCGAUGUGGGGACGGAGUAGGUUAGGUUAUCGCACUGUUGGAUAUGUGCGUUUAAGUUGGUAGGUGUGAAGUUUAGGCAAAUCCGGACUUCUUUAACACCGAGAGAUGAUGACGAGGCUCUACGGAGCUGAAGUAACCGAUACCACACUUCCAGGAAAAGCCACUAAGCUUCAGGUUUAUCUAAACCGUACUGAAAACCGACACAGGUGGUCAGGUAGAGAAUACUCAGGCGCUUGAGAGAACUCGGGUGAAGGAACUAGGCAAAAUAGCACCGUAACUUCGGGAGAAGGUGCGCCGGCGUAGAUUGUAGUCCCUUGCGGGCGAAGGUUGAACCGGUCGAAGAUACCAGCUGGCUGCAACUGUUUAUUAAAAACACAGCACUCUGCAAACACGAAAGUGGACGUAUAGGGUGUGAUGCCUGCCCGGUGCUGGAAGGUUAAUUGAUGGUGUAAUCGAAAGAGAAGCUCCUGAUCGAAGCCCCAGUAAACGGCGGCCGUAACUAUAACG
rnacentral:rRNA from 1 species